rnacentral:lncRNA from 1 species
GAAAACUGAGUGAACAGGAAGCCACCAAGCACCCUAAGCAGGAGGUGGGGAGUGCAGACAGGUCACCACCAUCUGCAGUGUGGCCACUGCUGUCUUGAAGCUGUACCUUGAGCCCAUCUACAAGGCAGCAGCUGCCCACUGGACCGUCUGUGCAGCCACUGCAUUUGGGGCACCCACUGGAGCCAUUCAGACCCACUGUCCACCUAAGGGUAAGCCAGAUGUUCCUACACGCUGCAGCUCAGCUGCUCCAAUGUUCAGCUCCUUUCCUCCAACUCCCCC